GCCGGAGUGGCGGAAUGGUAGACGCAGCGGACUCAAAAUCCGCCGGGGGCAACCCCGUGGGAGUUCGAGUCUCCCCUCCGGCACCA
rnacentral:tRNA from 1 species